rnacentral:lncRNA from 1 species
AAAGUGGUAUUUUGUCUUUUGAAGACUCUGGUCCUAAUGUGCAAGCUAAUCUGUUUCCUAAACAUGGUGGUGCAACUAUGAAUAUGGUUGAAGGAUGUCCUGGAAAGUAUCGUGUCUUUGAGGUCAAUCUGAUUAGAAGAUCCUUGAUCGAGAUACAUGCAACUUUGUGCGAGCUGAGUUAUUACGAGCACAAUCAUGUUUCUUUCCAUAUCUAUUCAAGAAACCCUUUAGGGUGUGUUGUGGUAAAGAGAGAUUUAC